AGAGUUUGAUCAUGGCUCAGGACGAACGCUGGCGGCACGCUUAAAACAUGCAAGUCGAACGUGAAGCCCGGGCUUGCCCGGGUGGAAAGUGGCGAACGGGUGCGUAACACGUGAGCAACCUGCCCCGAAGACCGGGAUAACACCGGGAAACCGGUGCUAAUACCGGAUGCCUUCACCAUGUCGCAUGGCGAGGUGAAGAAAUGGAUUCCGCUUCGGGAUGGGCUCGCGGCCUAUCAGCUUGUUGGUGGGGUAACGGCCUACCAAGGCAACGACGGGUAGCUGGUCUGAGAGGAUGUCCAGCCACACUGGGACUGAGACACGGCCCAGACUCCUACGGGAGGCAGCAGUUAGGAAUCUUGCGCAAUGGGCGAAAGCCUGACGCAGCGACGCCGCGUGAGGGAAGAAGGCCUUCGGGUUGUAAACCUCUUUCAGAAGGGACGAAGCCACUCGGGUUAAUAGCCCAGAGGGUGACGGUACCUUCAGAAGAAGCCCCGGCUAACUACGUGCCAGCAGCCGCGGUAAUACAAUCGCC
rnacentral:rRNA from 1 species